GCAUUUAUUGGCAAUUCUUGCUAUCCAUUUGCUGACCUGUUUUGAUUCCAUUGGUACUUUUAAUGAUUUACACACACGAUAUAUUUAUAUCUAACACCCAUCACAGAAGUAGCAUCAGGAAACAGGAUAUUUUAGAUUGUGUUUUUCUUGUCUGUUCAUUUGAUGUUCAGCCCUGACUGUUGGGUUCAUUAUGUGACAUACAUGGAAGAUUACAAAAUGAAACAAUUUUGCGUACAAUCUUAACAGUGUGUAUGUGUUUUUUGCUUUGUGCAGUGUGUUCGAUGGAGGGGGGGUGAGGGCUGUCAACCUUGAAGAAAAGCUUGCAUUGAUACACCAGGUAAGAUGACAGCUGACCAGAAUCCGGACCCGGCGACAUCCAUCCGAGAUGUGAGCUGAGCAUUUGACAGAAGAGCUACGACAUCUCUUUGACCUGCCAUCAAGGCUGAAGAAGGUGCCGAAGAUUUGGGAGACGUUCUGUGUUGUCCCUGCUCCAAAAAGGGAUAAUGCAGUCCCUUCAGGCCUGUGGCACUAUCGUCAAACGAAGACCGCUGGGAGACUGGCUCUACAGCACCUCAGGCCUGUGAUGAGGGACUGCCUGGAUCCUUUGCAGGCCGACUUCAUUGUGGACGAUGCUACUUCAGAGCUUAUGCCCACCCAGGUAGACCAAGACCUGGGGACCUGGUGAGCAACAAGGGCACACCCCAGGGACUGAAUUAUCACAGUUUCUCCUUGCACUCUUUUUACACUUUGGCUUCAGCUCUGAAGUUGUCAGAUGACUCCUGUGUUUUUGGCUGCACUACAGAUGAUGGGGAGGAGAAAGACAGAGACUUGAUUGAGAGCUUCACUGGAUGGUGUGAGAGUUAUCACUUCCAGCUUAAUACAGGAAACUCCAAAGAGCAGAAGGGCACCUGCAAGUACUUGAGGGAGCAACUUAGCAACAACUUGGACAAUGUUAAACGCCUCUACAGGAAAGGUCAGAGUAGGCUGUUCUUUCUGAGGCUCAGGUCUUUUAAUGUGUGCACUAGACUGCUGCAGAUAUUCUACUACUCUGUAAUGGCCAGUGUCUUUUUUAUUUUGCUGGGGAGGUGGCAUUGGCAUCAACAAGCUAAAUAAGCUAAAUAUUGGCUGUGGGACUAUAAUUCGACAGUGUGAAGGGAGUGACCAGGAAAAGGGUGAGGGGGAAGUUAAAGGCCUUCAUGGACAGUCCCUCUGAUCCAUGCUGAGCUGAGGCAGCAUAGGAGCUCCUUCAGCCCCGGGCCUCAGAGCAGAUCGGAGGCUCAUUUGUGCCAUCUGGCUGCUUGAGCCUUUUUCAUCUCUGGUCAGUGCUUUUUACUGCCUUCCCUGUUUACAAGAUGUAAGCAACUUUCAUGUUAGAAAAUCUUUGCAGUUCUAUAGUUCUUGAUCACAAAAUUAAAGCACACCUCAGAGUGCUAGUUUUUUUCUUACUUCCUCCUAAACAUACAAUGUUGCCAUUUUCAUCAGUUUUACACAACUGUUGUGCUGUAGAAGAGAAUUGGCAGAUCCACAUUUUUACUGUUUAUUUUAUGCAGUUACUCUGAACUCGACUGCAAAUUAUGGACAAUAAAUGUUAUGAAUGCAAGUAGAUUAGAUUGUGGCACAUAUUGUGGGUGUGCUGACGAACAUGUUCAGGCUGUACUUCUCUUCACGUCUUCCUGUGGUUUUGAAUAGACGCAAGAAUUCUAGAGAAAGCAGAACUCCAUUCAAAGAUGUUCCUGACUUGGUAAUGUGAAAAAUAAGUUGCUUGACAUAGCUGCCUCCUAAUAGUGAAAACAAAGUAAGCAGCACUUGCUGUCCCAAGGUUUAUCAGUCAGUUGAAUUAAGGGAGAUAAAGGGCUAGGUAAGCAAAAACGAAAUCUAACAUCACAGAACUUAUCUACACUAAAAGCAAUAUUUUUUUAUUUUCUUUGCCAAAAAGAUUCAAGCAGUUUUAUUUUAAUCAUUAUAUAAUCCAUUCCAAGCAUCAACAUACUCGCAAAAUAAUGCAGAAUGGAAAAAAAAAAUGCAGCGUAAGUCACCUGUUAUCUAAAUUAUUAUAACAAGCACCCAAUGUACAUUUUGAAACAUUAGUAGCUACGGGGCUUGAACUUUUGCAGUUGUGACUUUUCAAACAUUGAAAAUGAAACAUUUUAACCCAGUGGCACCUUGAUUGGUUGCAAGCAGAAGAUUCCUCAUAUGUUUCAUUUUGACACAGAAGUUGGAACAUUCAAAGUCUAAAUGCAGAAAAAGAACAGUCCACGUGGACAAAUUCAUGUUUCUUACUCAAUUACUUUUUCUGUAGCAAUAACUGAAAAAUACUUAAAUAGAAUCUGCAGGAUUGUAUGUAACCUAAGUCUAUCAGCACUUUGACUACUAAAUACAGAAAGUAUAAAAUUAUUUUUACUAAAAAAACCUUAUAUAAAUUUGAAUGCCAGCCAUAUCCACAUAGAAGGGAAUGCACACACUUAUGUAAGUAAAUUGUUUCAUCACUAUUAUUUUCCAAAAAUUUUGAUUCUUCAAUCAAAAUGUGAACUUGAAUCAGACUAAGUUAUUCUAAGAGGUAUAAUUAUUUUUAUAUAUGUAUUGUAUCCUUCUCCUGAGAUGAGGUUUGUGACCAAUUUAUGAUUUAGUCUUAACUUUUAAUCAAGUGACUAUGCCAGCAAAACCAAUAAUCAUAAAUCCAAAUAUAAAUAUAUGAAUAAUAAAUCUAAGACCUCUUACAACGAUGGCCUUUUACAUUUUGAUGCUUCCUACAAAUGCAGGCAUAGGACCUUCUGCCAGCACUAACAUAUUAAGUAUUACUUGGCUGAAUUAUGUCCAAGUAAUGUUUUUAGUGUGUUGCUCCUGAGGAUAGAUGAAUGUACACUAAAUGGUCAUUUUUGAGGUCUUUGUUACUUUAAUACUCUGAAAGACGUUAACUGUCCAAGCUGCAUCUGCCUUUAAAACAAAAGAAAAUUAAAUUUUAAUUAAACUGUUUGAAUUUAUAAAAAUGAUCCACUUUAUCCACGUGGUGCUACUGUCCACAUGAGACUGGGAUAAAAUAGGGAUGGUAGCUGCAUUUGAAUCAAAAGAAUAUAUUCAUAUUUUUUGUCGAUGCAAAAUUUUACUCUAACCUGAUCAGUUGCAGCACAAUCUACUAUAAAUCAACAAUUUAAGAAGCUAAAGGAUGUUGAACAGGUUUUGCUUCAUGAGUUUAUAAAAUGCAGUGCAGUUUUUAAAAAUCAUUGGCUGUUUGUGUAAUAGAAAAUAAGGAAGGUGGUAAAGGUGAAGCAUGUCAGAUCAGAGCAUAACUCUUAUCUCCCUGUAAUUUUGAUGAUUCAUUGGAAUUUUUGUCACCAGAUAACUAUCACAAACUGAUAGCUAGCCGCAGUCCUGUUUAAAUUGGAGCAGUUACUGAAUUACUGGCAGCAGACCUGCUCUGUAAAGUACUGUAGACAUUGUGUUUCAGAAAAUAAUCCUGCUUCACAGUAUGCAUUUUAAAUCACAACUACAAUCCUAAAACUUUAGUUUAUUCAAAAAUACAGUUCACAAUUGUGUGCGUGUGUGUGUGCGUGUGUGUUCAGAUGAGACUUUUUUGUCAGAUUUAAAGAAGCACCUUUUGAAAAUAUUUAUUAAGCUUUCUGUUAAGCCAACAUUUCUGUAUUGUAAUUUUUUUUAUUAUUGGUCUAGUAUAACAUUCUAAUCUCUCUCAAAUGUCGUGUUUUCAUGAACUGUAAGCAGAUGGUCAUUAAAAUUAAAAGGAAUAAUAUCAAAAAAUA